rnacentral:rRNA from 1 species
GACGAACGCUGGCGGCGUGCUUAACACAUGCAAGUCGAGCGGUAAGGCCCUUUCGGGGGUACACGAGCGGCGAACGGGUGAGUAACACGUGGGUGACCUGCCCUCAGCUCUGGGAUAAGCCUGGGAAACCGGGUCUAAUACUGGAUAUGACUCCAUGACGCAUGUUGUGGGGUGGAAAGCCUUGUGCGGCUGAGGAUGGGCCCGCGGCCUAUCAGCUUGUUGGUGGGGUGAGGCCUACCAAGGCGACGACGGGUAGCCGGCCUGAGAGGGCGACCGGCCACGCUGGGACUGAGACACGGCCCAGACUCCUACGGGAGGCAGCAGUGGGGAAUCUUGCGCAAUGGGCGAAAGCCUGACGCAGCGACGCCGCGUGAGGGAUGACGGCCUCGGUGUAACU